ensembl:lncRNA LINC02436 long intergenic non-protein coding RNA 2436
GUCCUGAGUUCCAGAGCCUCAAAGAGCACCCAGCAUAACUGUGGGAGAAUAGUAAGCAUUGGACACAAAAUGGUUUAGGCAAAUAAUGAUGAACAAAAAUGGUCAGUCUGUGUUCCUGCUGACCCAGCACAGUGGGGACGCUGUGUAGGACAUGACCUUUGGGGGAAAGGACACAAGAACUCAGCGUGGGGGAUCCAGAAAAGAAGUCGCACGUAUUGAAGCCAGUAACGCCAAGCCAGUGAAUUCUCCUUGACGAGAAAGACCCACUUACUCUGCAGAAGAGAUAUAUGACAGCUGACAAUCCCUGGAGGAGAAUCUUUCUACUAAAUUGGUAAGGGAUGCUAAGCAAAUGAUGUGGACUCAGGAAACAACGCAUUUCAUGAUAUACGGUUGCCUCUCAAGGUGAAUUCGAGACCCCUCUUGAAUUACAAAGAGUUGAAAACAUUCAAGUACGGAAUAAACUAUUACUGCGAAUACGCUCAUAUGACACAAGAACAAUCUCUGAGCUUCUUUGAGGAUGUCCAGAUGACUGCUGACUGCACUAAUUGCAUCAAUCGUGUAUCCAUACAGGUUCUUUCUAUAAAAUAGUGGUCGCUAGUUAUGAGGCGUUAAGCCUUCAUGGAUAUAAACAGACUAUUCCACCUAAGUGAUCUGGCAGAAGCUUAGUUUUCUACCACAACAUCCACCGUCCUCCCUCCCUCCCUUCCUAGCUGGUCAGAAAAGCUACUCAGAAUAAAGACUACAUUUCCCAGCCAUCUUUGCAGCUAGGUUUAUCCACCUGACUAAAUUCCACCGGCCUGCCACAAGAAUACGAAGGCCAGAGCUCCAGCAGCUGUUGGAGCCACGAUGUGACCCUGAAGGCAGGAAACUCAGCUUUGGAAGUAACUCCAGGUUGAAGAACUUCUACUUAUAGGCAUCUAUUCAACGAAGACGAAUCCUGGAAUGGGGAUGGAAAUGAUGGCUCAUGUCUUAGCAAACUACCAGUACGUCUACUAGAACCGGAACUGAUCCGAGAGGACAGGGAAGUCAGUGUGGGCGGCUCUAAGGAGCCUCCCUCUCUACAGCUGCGGCUCAGAGGAUUACGGCGCUUCAUCCACAAGGCAACAUUGCACAAGUAGCUUUUGAACAAAAGUCAUGGAUACUAUUAAUGAUAUGGUAAUCCUUAAUCGAGCUACCUCCCAGUAGUGAUUAUACUGACAUGGGAAGAAUAUCUAAGUCGUGGAGGCAGCCCACAACAACACUGUGUCAUUGUUCACCCCGGGCUCGACCAGGACUAACUUUUACCAGCAUCUCUAACGUCACCUUUCCCCUGAUGCCUCCCCACAACCCCUGGCCCCAGCUCCCAUUCCCGCCCCAUCAUAGCAAAAAAGUAGCAAAGAAAACCCUGAUCCUAAA